GAUGAUGACGUUGAGCUUUGACCCACUCAUUGUUCUAUCCGGGUCAGAGGUUCUCCAGGCUUUCUCUGAAGGUUUUAUGAGGAGAAUGCCAUGCGCUGCAGUCCACUUCUUGCUUUUGGAGCGGCUUACGCUCACAUCGGCAAUUUAACCGAACCCAGACUGAGCAGGACAAUGACAAACCCAAAUCAAAACAUCAGAAGACUUUCAGGACAUCAGGAGAAGAAAAGUUGAAAAAAUAACCUGAAAGUUUUUCCUGUUUGGAGGAAAAAAUGAUGAAGAGGAUCAGAACUGAAGCUUCAGACAAACAACAAACAGACACUCCUUCAUGCAAAUCCUGCAGAGUCAAAUCAGGGAUUCAUGCAAAACACACACACACACACACACAC